CGUUCCUACGGGAGGCAGCAGUAGGGAAUAUUGCUCAAUGGGGGAAACCCUGAAGCAGCAACGCCGCGUGGAGGAUGAAGGUUUUAGGAUUGUAAACUCCUUUUGUUAGAGAAGAUUAUGACGGUAUCUAACGAAUAAGCACCGGCUAACUCCGUGCCAGCAGCCGCGGUAAUACGGUGGGUGCAAGCGUUACUCGGAAUCACUGGGCGUAAAGAGUGCGUAGGCGGGGCAAUAAGUCAGAUGUGAAAUCCUGCAGCUUCACUA
rnacentral:rRNA from 1 species